rnacentral:rRNA from 1 species
GACAAACGCUGGCGGCGUGCCUAACACAUGCAAGUCGAGCGAUCGGCUCGGGAGGGGUAACCCACCCGAGUACGGAGCGGCGAACGGGUGAGUAACACGUGGGCAACCUGCCCCAGGCUCUGGAACAACCCCGGGAAACCGGGGCUGAUGCCGGAUAUUCUCGAGCACUCGCAUGGGAGCUCGAGGAAAGUUCAGGCGGCCUGGGAUGGGCCCGCGGCCUAUCAGCUAGUUGGUGGGGUAACGGCCCACCAAGGCGACGACGGGUAGCUGGCGUGAGAGCGUGGCCAGCCACACUGGGACUGAGACACGGCCCAGACUCCUACGGGAGGCAGCAGUGGGGAAUCUUGCACAAUGGGCGAAAGCCUGAUGCAGCGACGCCGCGUGGGGGAUGAAGGCCUUCGGGUUGUAAACCCCUUUCGGCAGGGAAGAAGCCGCAAGGUGACGGUACCUGCAGAAGAAGCCCCGGCCAACUACGUGCCAGCCGCCGCAGUAACAC